rnacentral:rRNA from 1 species
UACGUAGGGUGCGAGCGUUAAUCGGAAUUACUGGGCGUAAAGCGUGCGUAGACGGUAGCGUAAGUCGGGUGUGAAAGCCCCGGGCUCAACCUGGGAAUGGCAUUCGAGACUGCUCUGCUAGGGUGCGGAAGAGGGGAGCGGAAUUGCCGGUGUAGUGGUGAAAUGCGUAGAGAUCGGCAGGAACACCCAGGGGGAAACCAGUCGACUGGGCAUCUACUGACGCUGAGGUGCGAGAGCGUGGGGAGCGAACCGG